rnacentral:rRNA from 1 species
GAUGAACGCUGGCGGCGUGCUUAACACAUUCAAGUCGAACGGUGAUUGCCCUUCGGGGGCAUGAUCAGUGGCGACGGGUGAGUAACGCGUGAGCAAUCUGCCCUUAGGAGGGGAAUAACGUCUGGAAACGGACGCUAAUACCGCAUAAUGCAGCGAUACGGCAUCGUAAUGCUGCCAAAGAUUUAUCGCCUAAGGAUGAGCUCGCGUCUGAUUAGAUAGUUGGCGGGGUAACGGCCCACCAAGUCGACAAUCAGUAGCCGGACUGAGAGGUUGAACGGCCACAUUGGGACUGAGACACGGCCCAGACUCCUACGGGAGGCAGCAGUGGGGGAUAUUGCACAAUGGGGGAAACCCUGAUGCAGCGACGCCUCGUGAGGGAAGACGGUUUUCGGAUUGUAAACCUCUGUCUUCAGGGACGAAUUCUGACGGUACCUGAGGAGGAAGCGACGGCUAACUACGUG